UGGGGAAUAUUGGACAAUGGGCGCAAGCCUGAUCCAGCAAUGCCGCGUGUGUGAAGAAGGUCUUCGGAUCGUAAAGCACUUUCGACGGGGACGAUGAUGACGGUACCCGUAGAAGAAGCCCCGGCUAACUUCGUGCCAGCAGCCGCGGUAAUACGAAGGGGGCUAGCGUUACUCGGAAUUACUGGGCGUAAAGGGCGCGUAGGCGGCGCUCCAAGUUAGGCGUGAAAGUCCUGGGCUCAACCUGGGAACUGCGCUUAAGACUGGAGUGCUUGAGGAUGGAAGAGGGUUGUGGAAUUCCCAGUGUAGAGGUGAAAUUCGUAGAUAUUGGGAAGAACACCGGUGGCGAAGGCGGCAACCUGGUCCAUUACUGACGCUGAGGCGCGAUAGCGUGGGGAGCAAACA
rnacentral:rRNA from 1 species